AUAGAAACAGAAGAGGCACAUUAGGAGAUGUGCCCUCCGACGUUGCUUAAUUACCAAAUUAAUCAUUCUAGCCUUCUCUGUACCUCUUCUCUGACUCCUCUAUUCCCUGAGACUUCAGUGGCACAAAUACCCUGAGACUCGUCUCGGUGAGAGCAAAUAGCUCGCAAUCGGAAGUGGUGUGCGCUCGGAGCGUUCUGGGAAAUGUAGUUCGGCCUAUCCACAGACCACGAUCAAAUUUCUCGGCCUCCACGGGUAAAGGUCGGCUAGCAGGAGAACGUGAACAACCAAUUUUGAAGCCAUGAAGGUAGCGCCGGCCACGUGCAAGCCGAAGGCACCAAUGGUCUGAAUGCUGAUGAACCUACAGCGGCGAUCCUGGCCCGUCUCUGUGGUAACCAGUUCGCCGCUGAGGACUCUGGGAGUUGUAGUUUGACGGAAGCCACGUGCGAGACAGAAUGGCCACCGCAGGCCGCAGGCGGACAGAGUAGUAGUCCGACUCGCCCUUCGGACCACGAGGAUUUCACGGCAUAUGAACAGGAAGUUCUCCAGAACAAUGGCACCUCCGCAGUGAAUAUGACUCCGUUUAGCUAUGACCCUCAGAACCUCGCUCCUUGGAGCUAUGCCUGGGGACCAGCAGGUGCCAGCUAACUUUAAGAAGCCACACACCAAGGAACUAUUCCCAAAGUGCUUCCAGAUGGUCUCAGGUACAGAAUGAACCCUUAAGAAGUUCUGGAAGGAAAAUUACAGUAUCCUUUCCUAGGUGAGGCUAGAAUUCCUGGGCCAGUGUGUCUUGCGGACACUGAGAUUUGCCUAGAAGGAAGGAUGCCCUAAAAUUAUACAGGAGAGAGACUUGGAAGGCUGUGUAGAGCAGCCUGAGCUCGCAGCUGGCCCCGUGGUUGAUGACAGUGUCACUACAGUGCAUAGGCUUGCAGGUGGACAGUGGUGACGCUGAGGACCUCAUGGUGGAACACUCAGAGCACUUGUCUGCAGAGGAGCUUCAGCUUCUGGCUGGACAACAGAAAAUGGCAGUGAGCUGGCUUGCUUGCCUUUUUUCUGUUGAUAGCAGGAAUCAAACUUCAGACCUUGCACUUGACAGGCAGAUACUUACACUGCUCAGCUAUAUGUCCAGCACAGGAGCUUUCUAAAAAGAAGGAAGAGUAUCAAGAAUCAGCGCAGCAAAGUUCUGAAAUAAAGAAAAUCCUGGAAAAAAUGGACACAGCCACAAAUAUUUGUAUAGAGCUCCUAUCCAGACAGAGAAAAAGCCAGGCAUAGCACUCACGUACUACAGAGCAGGCCACCACAGACCAGCUUUAGCUCUGAAAAGGUUGAGGCUGAGUGAGCCAGAAGCAGGUCCUAGUGGGCUGCAGACUCCUGGGGAGAGCAAGGACACAGAGCUGGGUUCCUGAUGCUCUCUCGGAAGGGGAUGGGGACGCUCCUCCCAGACAGUAGCCACCUCCGGUUUCACCCUCCCCUCCUGCAAGGCAAAGAAGUCCACUGGAAUGAUAGAACAAGGAGUUCACCCCCUAUCAGGUACUUUCUGAAAGAGGAUCCUGUGAGUGACCUCAUACAGGCAUCAAACUAAGAACCACCUUGGAAUGUUCCAGUCCCUUCUGCUGACAACAGAGACCUCCCUUUCUGGAGAGCAGAGCUUCAUGGAGAGGGAGGACAGCAGCCCAGCAGCCAGAGGAGUCUCUUGCUCUGUCAUGGUGAGACCUGUUGGUGUGAUGUGCUUGCACAUGUGACCAGUGUCUGAGCAGACCCCGCCCAUACUCAAGCUCCGCAGGUGACCCACAGUUCAAGUGGAUAUUGUGAAGAUCUGCGUGGUGCGAAGAUCUGCGUGGAACGGAGGAACGAAUGAAUGAGUCAGCCAAAGCAGCAGCCCAGGGUGUGUGGGCAGGAGUCACAGCACAGCGGGGACAGGAGCCUCCUGCCCGUCACAGACCGUGCAGAGCACAUGAAGAGGCAGGGGCCAGGAUACCCCGAAAGGCGAAAACAACUGAGCUGGACUUGACUGAGGGAAGUAGGUGAAAGAUGAUGGAAACUUGGGAACCUUAUGGAAAGGAAACUUCGAGAAGUGCAGAGCCUGAUUCUUGCCUUCUACACAGUAUUGGGCACCUCCAAGCACCACACAUGCAGGACUGCCUGUCCCCUGGCACGCUGUCCCCAAGGAGCCUGCAUCCCUCCAUUCCUGCUGCUAAAAGUCUAAGCGCUGACAAGACCGUUUUCUGCAUUCACAGCUGUUGUCACAGCUCUCUGUUGGGUGAGCAUUUGAAGUCACGAGUGCUCGGAGACCCCCCCCCCCCACCGUAUCCUCAGCUCUCUCCCUGGUCUCCCUGUCUUGGAGAUGGGGGCACCCCCGGCACUUUGUCAUCUGUGACGACCGUCCGCCUGCUCUCCAGCCGGAACCUCAGCGAUGAAUAAGGGUUGAUUUCUCCUCAAAUGAUCACCACCCCCAAUUCAUCACAUUCAAAGGACUUUGCUUGCAGUGGCUCAUCAAGAGCCGGGCAAAGUGGUGCUUUCUGGAACAUCACACCAUGCAUCCGGGAUGCGCACAAGCUGUGACGAUCUGGUUAUGCCGUUUUCCUCUCCAGCACAUCUAAGCUCCUAGCAGAGGAACUGCAUCUCAUCAUUUGGAUUCCCCCACAGCACCUCUGAGCACGACACACCCGGAAUGAGGUUCUCAACAGCUGUGGACAUUGCAGUCCAAGCAGAUGGCUCAGGGCGUUUGUCUUUAACUAAAGAUGCAGCCUGCUUCUCCUGGGAUGCUUGUCCCUCAUGUUCAAGGUUACACAGGGAGGAAGAAUUUUUCACUCCACUUGCUGGAAUCACCAGUGCAUAGUCCAGCUGGGCCGUGGGGCCAUCUUGAGCUAAUUCCACCUCCACCAUCUCCUGUGCCUGUGAAAGCUGCAUCAAGGUUUCCAAGAGAGCAAAUCUCAGAGUGAACACUUCCAACCUUGCGCAAGUCACAUUCCUGAGACCUCAGCCUUCCCUCCAGCAGUCACUGGAAUCUCUGCUGUGAGAACUGGAGAAUCACGACUCACAGCAGCCUCAAGAAUCUGGGACUGUGCUCUCAAUUCUGCAAGCCAGGCACUAUGCUCAGCUUCUGCCCCACUGUACCCAGAACCUCCACUGGAAUGGCUGAGAUGGGGUCUUGUGUAUGUCUUCUAGCAUAUUCCUCCACUCCUGGUAGUGUCCGCUGGAACCAAGGUGUCCACAGGGGCCUUUGCAUUGCCAUGGAGCCACGCCACUGGAGCUUCUGUGCUUCUCUCUGUGGUCCUCCCCACUAGGCUACCCCCUACCUGUUUGCUCAGCCCUGUUGCCCUGGCUGUGUCGCACCAUGGGACUCUUUAGGGUGUGUGCACAGUUCACGGUGUUGGGACCCAGCAUAUCCUGGCCAGUGACUCCUAGUCACCUGGUACAAAAACAUAAAGUCAGUCAGACUGAUCAUAUUUACCCUUUGGGAAACUUGACCCAAAAUGGAGAUCAUCUAGACAGUGGGGGACAAGUUGUCAUGAAGCAAGCAGGGCCUGGGUGGACCAGUGUGCUGUGCAAAAUUUUACUGGAGAGAAGGUUUAAAUAAAGCAAAACAGAACCAGCUGUGGUGGAGAGGAAAGUAGGCUUGUUUUUUGGCAAGAGGAUAAGGAGGGGCCAACCUGAGCAGAGCUGCUGGCAGUUAGAGUGAGGUAGCAGCCCCAGAGCUGCCCUCCCACCAGGGAGCCCUGCAUCAGCCACGAGUGUCACUGCAGCAAGCUCACUGCACGUUCCCUUCUGUCACUUGGCUUAGAAAGCGUGUGACUUACUGCUGCAGGACACUAUGGAGAAAUGGCCGGGAGCAUCGACAGUCCAAGAGACCACAAGGCCUGGGGAAAGCCAGCUUGCUGAGACAGAGUGACACACAGGACCUUGCGCUUGCCAGGCAGGCACUUGUGCCACUGAGCUGUAUCCCCGGCCUAGUGCCCAGGCCAUUGGUAACGUCCUUGAGCCACUGUAUCUACCCUGGAAUCACUAGCUUUCAGCAUGCCAGCUGUAUAGGUUAAAGGCCUUUGUUUUCUAAGCGAGCCUCUAUCCCUUGCAGCCUGAAAAGUUCUCAGAGCUUUUGUGUCAUCUCCUCCAUGGUGCCCCUGUCACCCUUUGGUUCUUGUUACAGCUGCAAAUGAAAAUCCACCUAGGGGUUGAUGAGAGAACGUGUUCUGUACUUCUAACCACCCCAGAACACUUCCUGUCGUUAUCUGUCACCUUCACAACUUAGAGGACAGUCCCAGCUCUUGGUCCCAAUCACUAGAUAGACAAGGAAAGAAAAAUAUUGAGGAAGUUUCCAGAAGUCUGAGCCUUCUAAGAUGGGCUCGGGGGUGAGUUGUGUGGAGAACAAGCUCAGCAGGGCGCAGUGGCUGAGAUCUGGGGCCUGAGCAGGGGCCCAGAAAUAGCCGUGGAAGGCGCAAGAAGUCAGGCGGACCCUGGAGAGAGGCCAGCGUCCAUAGCUGGGUGCUUCCAGCUCUCCGGUAGGUGAAGGAGUUUGUGGCAGCUGAAACUAAACUGUGGGGACCUGGGCUUUACUGUUUAGCCAGCCUUGAUUUAGGUCAUCUUGGGAACAGAGUCCCGGAUUUGUGGCUCUCAUUCAUUGCCUUGUAUGGCAUCCUCAGUCCCUCUGUCUUCUCUUUCCUUUUCCCCCCAUCUACCUGUUUCUUUUCCAAGUAAAGCUAAGAGCCCGAAAAAUGCACAAGGCCUGAGUCACUUCUAACGCAAUUGGGAAGGUAAGUCAGUGGGAGGCGAGGGUGUAUUUUGGGAGACUUAGACUGCUUGUCGAGGAAGGGGAGUAGAUUGGCAGCCCGGAGAGCAGGCGGUGCCGAGAAUGCGGACCAAGACAGCUUCCCCUCGGCGCAGCUUCUUGUGGACACGUGAUUCUGUGACAAGAAAUGUGCCUGAUCCUUCUCUUCCCUAGCUCUUUGAAACUCUGUUCUUUAAAAUAAAGAUUAGACUGGCAUCUUCUGAA